rnacentral:tRNA from 1 species
GGGUAUAUAGCUCAAGUGGUAGAGCUCACGCUUAACAUGAAUGAGGUCCUGGGUUCAAUCCCCAGUACCUCCA